UCUCAAACCCAACCUGUGGUGAAUCCUGGGAGACAAGGUCAAAGCACUUGAUCCUUUGCCCCAUACUUUGAGAUGCUUCUCCCCGCCGAUCAAGCAGCGACGCUGCUCGUGAUAGGCUUUGCUUUAAGCCGCUAUCGUUCGGUUCGAAUAAAUAAGUCAAGUCCCCUCCGGUCGGUUCGCUCAGGUGGUCUUCCCUUAUCUUCUCUAACGUUCAGAGUAGUUCUGGUUUAAAAAAGGAGCACCGGCCGAGCGCCCUGAAUGAAUAAGAAAUGGAUAGCAAAGGGAAUCAAUGAUUCUUAUUCAACCGAGUUGAAGUUAGCAACAUGUCGAUUACACACCGGAGGUUGGUAAGAACUGAGGGACAAUGCCCCCUAACCUAAGUGGGCCUACCAGCGAAACAACUGGUAUUGGGUCGGGGGUGGGGGGUUGGUUUCGUGCAAGGCCUUCGCAGCAGGAAGAGGCAGUUGUCAUUUGAAAGGAAAGGCCCUUUGUAUAGGGUUCCAAACCUGCGCACCCUGAUUCCAAAUUUCUAUGUUAUUAGUAAAGCCUAAACUUAUUGAAAACUAAAGCGCUAACGCUAUAAUAAUUAUAAAAAUAGCAACCUUUCACCUUAUAAAACAAAACAAGUUUACUUACUAAAAAAAAAGAAAGUGGCAACAAGCACCUUCUUUCUCACUUUCUUAAAGUCGCUUCUUGCUUUAGAAAGAUUGCAGCGUUAGCGCUUCUUGACUAAAAAACAUCAUAGAAAGAGUCAAGGCUCCUCUCCUUUUCUACGAAUCUACAACUCUCUUUACUGAGCGAGACUCCAUCCAUAUCCCUACUAGUGGUUUUAUUGAACAUUUUCCAUUUUAUCAUUUGUUUGAC
rnacentral:lncRNA from 1 species